UACGGGGGAUGCAAGCGUUAUCCGGAAUGAUUGGGCGUAAAGGGUGCGUAGGUGGUUUCUUAAGUCAGAGGUGAAAGGCUACGGCUCAACCGUAGUAAGCCUUUGAAACUGGGAAACUUGAGUGCAGGAGAGGAGAGUGGAAUUCCUAGUGUAGCGGUGAAAUGCGUAGAUAUUAGGAGGAACACCUGUUGCGAAGGCGGCUCUCUGGACUGUAACUGACACUGAGGCACGAAAGCGUGGGGAGCAAACAGG
rnacentral:rRNA from 1 species